AACAUUAAAAGCCUCCCUAAACAGGGCCGCCUUCAGAUGUCUUCUAAAAGUCAGAUAGUGGUUUAUUUCCUUGACAUCUGGUGGGAGGGCGUUCCACAGGGCGGGUGCCACCACCGAGAAGGCCCUCUGCCUGGUUCCCUGUAACUUGGCUUCUCGCAGUGAGGGAACCGCCAGAAGGCCCUUGGAGCUGGACCUCAGUGUCCGGGUAGAACGAUGGGGGUAGAGACGCACUGGACCGAGGCCGUUUAGGGCUUUCAGGGUCAGCACCAACACUUUGAAUUGUGCUCGGAAACGUAUUGGGAGCCAAUAUAGAUCUUUCAAGACCGGUGUUAUAUGGUCUCGGUGGCCGCUCCCAGUCACCAAUCUAGCUGCUGCAUUCUGGAUUAGUUGUAGUUUCCGGGUCACCUUCAAAGGUAGCCCCACACAGAAACAAACCCCAAGCUGAAUCAGGGUGCCUUGGGAGUGUUUUGGUGCUUCCAUGAGGAGGGAUCUCUAUGAGGCCCCCGCAAGCUGAAGUAGGGAACUCUCCCUCCCUCUGAAACCUUGUGGUGCUUUGCUUGCUCAGUCACAACAUACAAACCCUGCUCUUUUUUGCAAAAAGCAAAACCAAGCUUACAGAAUACACCCUUGGUUGAGAGGGAAGAAUCGUCCAAGGUGUCUGACAGGACUAACUUUUAAUCAGAGGCAACUAUUUUAUCAGGAAUCCCCAGUUACAGUGCUUUUUACGGAAGGACGCUGACUCAAAUGUUUGUCUCACGUGCUCACUGCUCUUUGGCUAGUUCUGCCUCUCCCGAGUUCUCAGGUCUACUCCAGCAGGGCCUUCCUUAAAUUCCAAUCGUUGGGUAAAAGGAGAGUAAAUGAAGGAGUUACUUAUGCAGUAAAACUGACCUAGAUAUGGCUCACCAGCUACAUGUACCUGGACCAUUAAACCACACUUGGAUUCUGGAAUUUUCUAUCAGCUGUUAAGUGACAGUUAGAAGCAGGUGGAGUUCUGAAUCUUGGCACAUGGCUGGUGCCACCCCACUGUGAAGCUAUAGAGGUGUGAAGCUAUUAACACACUGAUUGUUCCUUCCAACCCUUCCUCUCUACUAGCUAGAAUGAUGUUCCGUGAAUUCAGAGAAUAGAGGAUUCCAUUUAAUGCCUCCCUCCCAAGAACUUAAGUCGAUCAUUGUUCUCCUGUAUUUUAUCUCCACAGCAAACCUGCGAGGUAGUCUGAAUCAAGGUCGCCCAGUGAACUACAGGGCUGAAUGGCAAUUUGUGUCUGGGCUUCCUACAGCCGGGCUGGUUCCAGACCACACUCUGACCACUCUACCACAUUGCUCUGAGCUCUAUAAAUGCAUACAUGGGAAGAGAACGAAGGGGAAAUUGAAGAAUAUGUCUAUACGGUGCAUAUCUCAAGGAAACUAUAGUUUCUAAUUAUCCUCCACCCUUUCCUACA